rnacentral:rRNA from 1 species
GGGGGAUAUUGCGCAAUGGGGGAAACCCUGACGCAGCGACGCCGCGUGAAGGAAGAAGGUCUUCGGAUCGUAAACUUCUUUGAUUAGGGAAGAAACAUGACAGUACCUAAAGAACAAGCCACGGCUAACUACGUGCCAGCAGCCGCGGUAAUACGUAGGUGGCGAGCGUUGUCCGGAAUUACUGGGUGUAAAGGGCGUGUAGGCGGGUAAGCAAGUCAGAUGUGAAAUACCGGGGCUCAACCUCGGGGCUGCAUUUGAAACUGUUUAUCUUGAGUGCAGGAGAGGGAAGCGGAAUUCCUAGUGUAGCGGUGAAAUGCGUAGAUAUUAGGAGGAACACCAGUGGCGAAGGCGGCUUCCUGGACUGUAACUGACGCUGAGGCGCGAAAGCGUGGGUAGCGAAC